rnacentral:rRNA from 1 species
AGUGAACGCUGGCGGUAGGCCUAACACAUGCAAGUCGAACGGCAGCACAGUAAGAGCUUGCUCUUACGGGUGGCGAGUGGCGGGCGGGUGAGGCAUACAUCGGAAUCUACUUUUUCGUGGGGGAUAACGUAGGGAAAGUGACGCUAAUACCGCAUACGACCUACGGGUUAGAGCAGAGGAUCUUCGGACCUUGCGCGAUUCAAUGAGCCGAUGUCGGAUUAGCUAGUUGGCGGGGUAACGGCCCACCAAGGCGACGAUCCGUAGCUGGUCUGAGAGGAUGAUCAGCCACACUGGAACUGAGACACGGUCCAGACUCCUACGGGAGGCAGCAGUGGGGAAUAUUGGACAAUGGGCGCAAGCCUGAUCCAGCAAUACCGCGUGGGUGAAGAAGGCCUUCGGGUUGUAAAGCCCUUUUGUUGGGAAAGAAAAGCAGCAGGUUAAUACCCCGCUGUUCUGACGGUACCCAAAGAAUAAGCACCGGCUAACUUCGUG